CUAAAGUAGCUGUAGCUGUGGCCGUGACAGGGGCAGAACUUGGCGGAGGAGAGCUCAUACCCCCACCAGGUGCCCCACCGGGUGAGGUGGGUGUAGGAGCUCCUCCGGGACCAGAAGCACUUGAAGGUGUAGGAGCUCCUCCGGGACCAGGAGCACUUGAAGGUGUAGGAGCUCCUCCGGGGCCAGGAGCUGGUGAGGAUGACGGCACUGAUGCUGGUGUAGGUGCUGGACCCGCUGGUGUUUUUGGUGCUGGGGCUGGUGUUGCUGCUGCUGGUGUUUUUGCUGGCGCCGGGGCCGAAGUCGGUGGUGCAGGUGUAGUUGACGGUGUUGAUGCUGGCGGAGGUGUGGAUGAGGGUGGAGGUGUGGAUGCUGGUGGAGGUGUUGAUGGUGGCGAUGAUGCUGGUGGAGGGGUGGCUUUAGGAGCUGGAG
rnacentral:lncRNA from 1 species